rnacentral:rRNA from 1 species
UAGGGAAUUUUCCGCAAUGGGCGAAAGCCUGAUCCAGCAAUGCCGCGUGAGUGAGGACGGCCUUAGGGUUGUAAAGCUCUUUCGGCGGGGACGAUGAUGACGGUACCCGCAGAAGAAGCCCCGGCUAACUUCGUGCCAGCAGCCGCGGUAAUACGAAGGGGGCGAGCGUUGUUCGGAUUUACUGGGCGUAAAGGGCGCGCAGGCGGUCAUUUUUGUCGAGUGUGAAAGCCCCGGGCUUAACCUGGGAACUGCGCUCGAAACGGGAUGACUAGAGAUCGGGAGAGGAGAGUGGAAUUCCCAGUGUAGAGGUGAAAUUCGUAGAUAUUGGGAAGAACACCGGUGGCGAAGGCGGCUCUCUGGACCGAUACUGACGCUGAGGCGCGAAAGCGUGGGGAGCAAAC